rnacentral:rRNA from 1 species
UACGUAGGUGGCGAGCGUUAUCCGGAUUUACUGGGCGUAAAGAGCGCGCAGGCGGUCGUGCAAGUCGGAUGUGAAAGCCCCCGGCUCAACUGGGGAAAGUCAUUCGAUACUGCUCGACUUGAAGGCGGGAGAGGGAAGCGGAAUUCCCGGUGUAGUGGUGAAAUGCGUAGAUAUCGGGAGGAACACCAGUGGCGAAGGCGGCUUCCUGGCCCGUUCUUGACGCUGAGGCGCGAAAGCUAGGGGAGCAAACGGG